rnacentral:rRNA from 1 species
GAUGAACGCUGGCGGCGUGCCUAAUACAUGCAAGUCGAGCGGAAGGACGAGAAUCUUGCUACUCGGAUGUUAACGGCGGACGGGAGAGUAACACAUGGAGAACCUACCUAUAAGACUGGGAUAGCUUCGGGAAACCGGAACUGAUACCGGAUAAUAGUUGGAACGGCAUGGUUGGAAAGUGAAAGAGGGUCUGGCUGGCACUGCGAGAUGUAUCCGCGCUGCAUUGGCUGGUUGGUAAGGUAACGGCGUACCAUUGCAACGAUGCCUGGCCGACCGGAGAGGGUGAUGGGCCACACUGGGACUGAGACACGGUACAGACUCCUACGGGCGGCAGAAGUAGCGACUCUUGCGCAAUGGGCGAAAGCCUGCCGGAGCAACGCCGCGCGGGUGAUGCAGGUCUUCGGAUCGUAAAACUCUGUUAUUAUGGAAGACCAUAUGUGUAAGUAACUGUGCACAUCUUGACGGUACCUGCUCAGAAAGCCCCGGCUAACUACGUG